UACAGAGGGGGCUAGCGUUGUUCGGAAUUACUGGGCGUAAAGCGCACGUAGGCGGCGAUCUAAGUCAGAGGUGAAAGCCCGGGGCUCAACCCCGGAAUAGCCUUUGAGACUGGAUUGCUAGAAUCCGGGAGGGGUGAGUGGAAUUCCGAGUGUAGAGGUGAAAUUCGUAGAUAUUCGGAAGAACACCAGUGGCGAAGGCGGCUCACUGGACCGGCAUUGACGCUGAGGUGCGAAAGCGUGGGGAUCAAACAGG
rnacentral:rRNA from 1 species